rnacentral:rRNA from 1 species
AGAAUCAACGCUGGCGGCGUGCCUAACACAUGCAAGUCGAACGAGAAAGUGGAGCGAUCCAUGAGUAAAGUGGCGACCGGGUGAGUAACACGUGACUAACCUACCUUCGAGUGGGGGAUAACCUCGGGAAACCGAGGCUAAUACCGCAUAACAUCGUGAGAUCAAAGCAGUAAUGCGCUGGAAGAGGGGGUCGCGGCUGAUUAGCUAGUUGGCGGGGUAAUGGCCCACCAAGGCGAAGAUCGGUA